UUGAUGUUUUAUUCGUGAGCGUGAUAAUAUACAAUAACAUAUUAUACUUUGCACAAAAUAUAUUAAAAAUACUUUUAAUUUAACAAAAAUGUUUACUUAAAAUUUGUUAGAAUAAAAUAUGAUUUCUAAAGAAUGUUUAAACCUUAUUUACAACUUGUAGCGUUGCUGACUGAUGACGGAUUUCAAUAUUGACAUACGUGUUGCUAUGACAACAAACUAGUAAUAAGGUAAUAACCAGAGACGGAUCAUGGCAAAGAACUGCCGUACAGACUUUUGUAUAACAUAUAAUGCAUAAGGCAUAGUACAUAACGCAACGCACAAGACUUGUGCAUAAGACUUUAUAUAUAUCAUAACCUCAAACUUGUUAAUGUUAUAUUCACAGUAUAUCGUCGCGCAACUUUUAGGAGCUAAUAAUUUAUGAUAGUUAAUGGCAAGCCCUCUAAGAACGAUAAGAUUAGCGUACAAAGUUAACAAUAGCCGAUAUGGGAGUACAGUAUCUUAGUGCAAGAGCAUCUGAAGUUAUGAUUAAAAUUGUCAGCAGCGAUUGUCCGAAUACUAUAACCAAAUAACUGGCCAAAGCGAUUGAAAGAACCAAGACAUUUUAUACAGCAUAAUAUAUAAACAUAGCGGAAACAUAUAUUUUUAUUUGUAAUUUAUAGAAAUAAAAUAUAAAUUCUAAAAACACGGAAGAAACAAAAAAUUUUUGGUGUUACGAAAGUACACGAUUGAUUUUGGACAAAUAUGAACAUUAUCUUCCAUUAGUAGGACCUAUGAAGCAAUUUAAAUGUAUAAAAGAUCCCCUACACGGUCGCCAGCUUCUUUCACCUUCCCAGAAGCAAGGUUGUCUCGAUGACCUCGCCGUCUCUGCUACGGUCUUGAUCUCUCGGUGCUGCUGCUUCACCCCAGGACGGACCAGGAUCAACGCUGUCUCCAGGAACUGCCUCAGGUUAAUCAGGGAUCGUUGCCCAGGAUUUGGAUCGUCGCACAACAUAAGUGGACGUGAAGAUCUUCCUCGGGACUUCCCUGGAUCUCUCCGCUGGUGUGGACGCCUCAGGAUAAUGGGAGCUCCUUGUGGACGGUCUCAAGCCGCCAGCAGUAUCCGGCGCUGCGCCGAUCCGCAGCCUCGCUGUCUCCAUCGCGAGGAUGGAAGAAUGCAAACAGACAACGCGAGAGGCCGAGACCGCCAGCGCGAUGACCGGCAGAAUCGAUCCACCGAAGCCAACACCAAGGAGCGUCCAGAGGCCGAUCGGCCGACCACCAACGCCAACUGAGACACCAUUUCCGACGCCGACGCAGCCGACGGACCCAGGAACCGUUCGAAUCACAGUAUACGAGCCGCCGCCGAUCGCCGACAGCAACGGAGAGAACGAGGAGAUGCUACAGGUGUCUCAGAACAUCGCGCACUUCGAGGAAGUGCAAUAAAGACAAUAAAAAGCGCGAGAGUUAUGUUACGCGACCGGCAGGACCGCGAUCCGCGCAUAUUAUAUUUUAUAUAAGUUUUAGUUCGUUUAGUCAUUAACCGCAGCCGCGUCAAACCGCGAGCAAUAUAGAAUAAGGUGUGUGUGUGAAUGCGUGUAUGAAAGCCGCGAAACUACACCUAGAAUAAGAAAUAUACACAUAUCGUAUUAAUCCAUUAAAACUAUAUUCAAGGAAUAUUAUGUUGUUAUACCAGCGUCAAAGUGCGUAAGACCCAUCGUAUUGUACGAAAGAAUAUAUUUAGUUAUUUAGCGUCUGUAAACGCGAAAACGAUUCAUUUAUUAUAAUAAAAAAGGAUUUAAUUAAUUUGUUUGUAAUUUGCCCGAUAAAAUCCGGCUAACUUAUCCCGUCCGUUCGUUAACUCGACAGCAGGUGCGAGACCAAGGGAUCACCCGACAAAUUGUCUCCCGACGAUAUCCGGCCGAGUGAGACGCCUACCUGACCGGCGAGCUCACCCUCGUCAAAGUGACAGGUGGAGUUAUGUUCCCCAGUAUCGCGAGUCGUUAAACGCGAUGAAUAGCGGACAGCGAUACCAGCGAAGGGAUAGCCAACGCAUUAUCAUGCGCACGCCAAGCGGCAUAACUCUUUACUUAUGCAUACAAUGGGGAAGUAUGUAUUAUUAUAUAUUAAUUACGGUGACUAUUGAAGAACAUACGCCGGGCUACGCGAUCGUAUUAUAUGAAAAUCUACGACGCGACGAUUAACAAACCCGCGCGUGAAUCAACGCGAAAAUACGCGUGAAUAAUUUCAUUUAUUGUUUUAUGUUUAAACUGUUGCGCCUUGCGGUACAACAAAUGAUUUGUGCCGUACCUUGCGGUGCGACAAAAGAUCUUUCGGGAUUCGUUACUGCCCAAGGAGUAGGAACUCGCGGAAAGAGGCGGCUUUUGUUGGCAGGGUCCUCAAAUCACUCACUCACUGAUUCUAAGUUAAUUUGAUAUAAAAGAUUUAUUUCACUGUGGUUGUACAUUGGUUGCGAUCGGCGAAAGUGCCGCGUCGUGUUACACUUGAUUAGAUACGGCGCGUGACUCGGAGUUAACGCGUCGUCUCGCUUGAGAUUUGCUUGCGGCUAAGUCCCGAACUCGUAAUUCACUCGUGCGGGCUGUACGUAUCGGCUUGAUUGCUAAUCAUUGAUCCCGCUGGCCGCUGGUCGGCAGCAGCUUAUAUAGUGUCGCGGAUUUGGUUAUUAGUGGGGGCAUCGGCCCUCCGCAUGACCAUAUAUGGUCAUUCCCGCGCGUAUCCGGCGCGCGGGAAAUAUUUGCGAGUUUAGCAACAAUUGCCAAAAUGCAGGUAUGCAUUUGCGGUGGCAUGAUUGUUGCUAAGCUGGCUUCGCUAAUUCUUUAAGGUGGCUGGUCCGUUGCAGUGCGAUGACCGGCCGAGGCAUGUGUCACCUGACACCUUGUGAUAGCGAGCCUUCCUCGGCGAGCUAUCUGAUAAUUUUAAUAUUUUAUAUUCUUUAUUUUAUAAUAUGAUUUUAUUGGUUGUGAGUGUUUCGCUCACAACAAAACAUAUAUCGCAACUAAUAAGUCGCGACGAUACUGUGAUUCCGGCUUAAUCCCGAUAAAAUUAUUUCGAUAUAUUAGAUCGAACCCCAAGAGGGGCGUAUGAACGCACAUUUGCGUGAAUUAAUUAUAUUUUGUUCUUUUGAUGUUUUAUUGGCUACCGCCAGACAGGCGACAGAGGGAACGUACCAGAAUCACUAGCUCGAACAGAUUAUGCACUUGUUCGGGGUCGAAGGUUGCGUAUGCGCAUGCGGGCCGUUGACGCCAAAGAGGACGGACCGAGUGUGAAUGAGAAGGAACCACCCGAGGUCCCCCGAUUGGUGAAAGGAAGCGUGUUACACCGGAAACGCCAAUCGGAGGGCGUCGGAUGGGGGUGCAUGCAGGCGUCGUAACGGAUCGUAGAGAUCCAAAAAAAGUCUGCGUGAGGCAUCCAUAGCGGGCGGACGUGGAUGCGAGACCGCGUCCCGCGCAAAAGUGGAAUCGUCCUAUUAAUAUAAGGCGAGUGCGUAUAUCGAGCGCGAGAAUUAAUAGAAUCGCGAAUUACCACUCGACGUCACUCGAAUGCAGAUAUUUUCUGCGUGUGAAAUUCGCGAGCGCGUUAAACAUCGCGAGAUCCCGGGCACGUAGCAGCAAGGGCGUGACCCGGAAAUAGACGAUCGCCGUACGCGAAUAAAACGCGCCUGCCGAUCGUGCGAGGCCUGUGUACGUGUGAUUGCGUAUAAUAAAGCAGAGCAUUGUGAAAAUUCACUUGUGUCGUGUUCAUUUCAACAACGCCAUCCCGGGCGAGUCCAUUAUUCUAAGGCGGGCUAGAUUGCAUCAUCCCGCCACGAGUGACGACGAGGGCCUUCCUCAAGGGCGAGCGAAGCUGAAGAAGCACCAGCAGCGAGCCAGGACAACGGGCAAACAGAUAUUUACACAGAAUAUGGAAAUAAUCAUCUCCGGCCAACAGACGCGCAAAGGCGAGGCCACAUCCCUGGCGAUUGGGGAAAUAAAUCGACCUAGCGACCGUAAUCAUCAUAAAAGUAAGAAAUCUGCAAGUAUUCCGGAUUUAUCACCAUUUAUAUGUCGAGUUCGGUUACAACCUGACCUGAGGAGUUACGGCAGCAAUCUCCAAAUACCGGUCUCUUAAAUAAGGGGCACAACAAACUCAUUUACAACUACGUGCAGCACAGAACUUUUGUGGUUAAUCUAAAAGGAUAAUCUUCUUCGUCUUACAGUCUACUGGUGUUCCACAGGGCUCUAUCUUAGGUCUAGUUCUAUUUAAUAUAUAUUAAUGACAUUCCUAAGUCUAAUAAUCCACAACUGGAUGUGUAAGCAGAUGAUACUGUUGUAUAUAUAUCCUCUUGGCCAUGACGCGUGGCCAAUAGUGACGCGUGGGCAAUAAUGACGCGUGGCCAAUAUUGACGUGGCCAAUAUUGACGUGGUCAAUAUUUACGUGGCCAAUAUUGACGUGGACAAACGGGUGCCACUCAGUCAGAGUGGCGUGGGUCCGGGCCCGGUCGGAUGUGCUAGACCCGAAGCCGUUGCAGUGCUUCCUCUGCCUGGGGACGGUCCCCUGGGGAGGCGGUGCACGGCGAGGGCCGACCGCAGCGGACUAUGUUACCGCUACGGAGGGGCUAGCCAUAAGUCCGCGGAUUGCAUGGCGGAACCUUGCCCGCUGUGCAGGGACUUGGGGAGGCUCUCCAAUCACCAAUACAGCGGCAGGGCCUGCCUUUCGUCAAGGUCAAGGCCAAGGCCAAGAGAAGGGGCACCGAAGGCGCGGCGGCAACCGCUGUCUCGACUGUUGGCGACGCCGGGGCAGACGACCGUUGGAAAGCCAAGAUGCGGCGUGGGGGGGAGUCCGGCUCUCCCUCUACUGCCUCCCGAGGGAGCCACAAAUUUGACCCCCAGUGAGACCCGCCUGGAGGAGGCAAUGGAUACGGAGUAACGUUUGUACUCCAUCAACUCUUCUAGGCGAAUUGAACCACUCCGCCAGAGCCCAGGAUCUUCUGUCCCGAGCGAUGGCGGAGUGGUCCAUAGAGCUGGCAAUCGUCUCCGACCCCUACGUCGUCCCCCCUGCCAGACCGGACUGGCUGGGGAACGAGUUGGGUUCGGCAGCGAUCGUAGGUAGAAAGUGCGGCUCGAGGCAUCUUCCUUUUUCGCUGUUGGGGAAAGGAAGGGGCAUCAUUGCCGUGGACUGGGGGGAAUCGUGGUGGUAAGCGUCUACGUUCCGCCAAGCAAGGACCUCAUCUUCUUCGGCGAUCUGCUGGCCCGUAUAGGGACGGCGGUCGCUCGAGAGUUACCGGGAGGGUAUUGGUCGCGGGAGACUUUAACGCGAAGUCUACCGAGUGGGGUCCCCCCGCAACCGACGCGAGAGGCGAGGUCUUCGGCGAGUGGGCGGCUAGCCUCGAUCUCCGCAUUCUCAAUGUGCGUGGGUCAACGGGGGGGGGGUUCAUCGUCAACGUGACGAUGGGAUCGCUUGCCGCCGUGCGGGCGGUCAAGGACUAGAGGGUCCUGGAGUCGGAGAUCAGAUCGGACCACAACUACAUCCGCAUGACGGUCUUCGACUCCGCGAUGGGCUGCCAGCGCGCCGGUCGUCACCGCCUCGGGGCCGCUGCCACCCCCCGUUGGGCGCUUAAGCGGCUCAGUGAAAACGCAGCGAUGGCGGCCGCUGCCACCAAGUUCUGGCAGACGUCGGAGCUCCACGAAACUUGGACGGUAGAGGGGUAGGUGGCCUGGUCCCGGGGCGCGAUGGCGCAGAUAUGCGACGCGUCGAUGCCCCGGAGCCGGGCCGCCCCUCCCAAGAGGGCUGUAUAUUGAUGGUCGCCAAGGAUUGCGGAGCUUCGCUCCAAGUGCAGUGCUCUGCGCCGCCGGUAUCUCCAGUGCCGCCGCAGGAAGCGGCACACGGAGGAGAAAGCGGCCAGUCGGUACAAGCCUUAUCGCGAGGCGAAAAGGGCCCUGCAGAACCCCGCUCGGGCGAAGGCCAGCGCUUGGGAGGAGCUCCUGGAGGCUCUCAAGCGUGAUCCGUGGGGGUGAACCUACAGACUUGUCAGGAACAAGCUGAGAACCGGGUCGCUCCCGGUCACCGAGAGCCUCCCCCCCCCCAACUGCUGGGAGACAUAAUAUCGACUCUGUUUCCUCAACGGGGAGAUGGGGUCGCCGAGCCUCCAGUGGGGCCCUCGAACCGAGGAAUCGAGUGGUCCGAAGACUGGGAGGUCACGGAGGAGGAGCUUGCUAGAGCAGUCACUCGGCUCCGGGCCAAGAACACGACCCCGGGACCGGAUGGCGUUCCUGGCAGGGUGCUGGCAUUCGCCCUACGCGUCCUCGGGGACCGGUUCAGGCAACUCUUCACAGGCUGCCUGCGUCAGGGACGGUUUCCCCGCAAGUGGAAAGCGGGUCGGCUGGUUCUCCUCUCUAAGGAGGACUGCCUUGCUGACUCCCCCUCAGCGUAUCGCCCCAUCUGCCUAUUGGACGAGACGGGCAAGCUCUUCGAGCGAGUGCUGGUUGCCCGUCUCCAACGGCAUCUGGCUGAGGUGGGCCUCGAUCUGUCAGAAUGCCAAUUCGGCUUCCGCGUGGGCCGGUUCAUGGCGGAUGCAGUCCUCCCUCGCGAAGGGGGUAGUGUCCCGGAGCGGGAUGGCAAUUGCUGUGUCUUUGGACAUAAGCAACGCAUUCAACACUCUGCCCUGGGACAGGAUUGGGGAGGCGCUUUGGUAUCACGAGGUGCCUCCCUAUCUAGAGUGGGUGAUCGGGAACUACCUCUGUCGCCGGUCCAUCGGGUGGGUCGGGCGCGACGGCACCACAUGAGGGGGACGAGCUGCGAGGUUUCACAAAGGUCGAUACUGAGGCAAAUCCUGUGGAAUCUCGGGUACAACUGGGUACUGCGGCCUUCUCCCCGGGGGCGCCAAGACCAUCUGCUACGCGGAUGACACCUUGGUAUUCGCUCCCGGGGAUGACUGGGGGGAGGCCAGCCGGCGCGCGGCGGAGCUGAGAGUGGCCUUGCACAAAAUUGAGGCAAACUGGUUCGCCAGACUUCGAUCGCGGGGCCCUCCUCGGCCCUACAUCAUCGUAAGGGAGGGGGGCAAACCCCGGAGGUCGGGGAACAGGUUAAAAUACCUGAGUCUCGUCCUCGACAGCAGAUGGAGCUUCCGGGCCCACUUUGAGAGACUGGCUCCUCGGAUGAGAGCGGUCACCACCUCCUUAGGGAGGCUGAUGUCUAACCUCGAGGGGUCUGGGGAUGGGCCGCGCCGCCUCUAUGCCGGGGUGGUGGCCUCGGUCGCGCUUUACGAUGUGCCCGUGUGGAGCGGCGACUUGGCGGUCAGCCUGCCUUGCACCACCGCUCUUAGAAGAGAGAAGCGCAGGCUGGCCCUGCGGUUGGCACGGGCGUACCGUACCACCCCGUGGGAGGCGGCAUGCAUGGUGUCGGAGCAACUGCCCUGGGAGAUCCUGGCGGAGGAAUUCGCCGAUCGCUUCCGCUGGCAGUCGGCUCUUUGACGGGAGGGAAUCACCCCGACACCCCGGAUGGCGGUGGCUUGGGGGCUCCAGGCCAGAGAAAAGUCCCUGGGCCUGUGGCGCGAGCGCUUGGCCUGAGGACCGUGGUGGCGAUCCGCCCGGUCCUCAAGAACUGGGUGGCGGCUGCGUCACUGGGUCACCACUGCGGGGUGGCUCGGGACACGACGCAGCACACGCUGGAAGUGUGUCCGGCGUGGGCGACACGACGCCGUGCCCUGAGCAAUACAAUAGGGCAGGACCUCUCGCUGCCGGCCGUGGUUCAAGCCAUGGUUGGCAGCGAGGACGCAUGGGUUGCGAUAGUGGCCUGCGAUACUGCCUUCUGCGAGGUUGUUAUCUAGCAGAAGGAGGAAGCGAAGCGGGAGAGGGAGUCUGACAGGGCUGCCGAUCUCGCCCGCCGAGUAAAGAGCGGGCGGAGGAAAAGGGCUUACGUGAAAAAUCCGUAGGUCUCUUUUUUACCCGUCCCUCAGGGGCGAUUGGACCGCCCUACGUGGAGACGUGAGCACACCGACCCCUUGGAAAAGGGGCGUCGCGGCGGCGUGGUUGCGUCUCGACGCCACAAAUAGUGUAGGGCAGAGAAAUGGCCGGAUUUGUCUGGCUGCUUCUUAGGGACGCCCCCUCCUCGGGGGGAGGGGGGGGCAAUAGGCGCGACGGGCCGCGAUGCAUGCCUGUCCGACCCCGGGACCCGCCGUAACGCCAGUGGUAAGCAAGCAUCGAGGGGUUUAAUGGAUAGGCCCAUCCCGAAAAGGGAUGGGGAGUCCCACAUACCCCCCAACCGAUCCCCAGGGUGGGGGAAUGCGUAAAAAGCAUUCCCCUCGUUAAAAAAAGGAGGUUAUGAGGUUGUGACCGAACUUAGCUUGGGGAUUAAGAAAAUCCCAGCAUUCCCCUCGAUAAAAGAGGGGAUUAUGAGGUUGUGACCAAACUUAGCUUGGGGAUUAAGAAAAUCCCAGGAUACUUAACGAUAUAUUAGAAUUUCUUAUUUGUACGGUCGCCAGGUCGGUGAUUUGCCCCACCACCAGGGUGUGGACUCGGCCUUGUACGUGGUUCGGCCGGAAGUAAAUAUCUGCUUAUUCAGCUGUUAAUUCGGGAUGUCCCUCGCCCGUUUAGUAAUCCAGAGCCUCUGCGGAAACUUCUGGUAUCACAGGAUCCUUCGGAAAGUCUUCCUUUCUAGCUGGUAUGGGAUGAUGUAAUCUCCAGCCAAAAAAUGGACUUGCCCAGGAUAUGUGUUUAGGUCGCACGAUUAAUUACAAGGCUUUCACAAUGCACUUUACUCUGCUUUUUAUUUAUUCACAUGUUAUAUUUUCGCUCGCACACACUCGUAUUCGGCUGCGCUCAUUAUUGCGUAAUAUUAUCACUUAUGUCCGGCCACGCCUCUCGUAUAGCGUGAGCACGGAUUUUCGCGAGUCUUUUACGCGCACGCGAUUAUAUACGCGGAAAAAUGCCUGCGACGAUAGCUCGCGGGUUGUAUCGCGAAUUCACUUGGAAAUACGCGCCAGUUGCUGCUACCGUACUUAGUCGUAUCUUGUGAUAUCGCGGGAACUUGGAUAUCUCACGUCCGCACGCUACCAAGUUCACAAGCAGACUUCAGGGCAUAUAAUCUCUUAUGUAUUUUUCGUGAUCAGCGUUUGUAGCGCCGCCGCUGCAAGCGAACCAGCCGAACCGAACUAAAAUGCAAUAUGGCUGUCUAAAAUCAACAUGGCCGUAGUAAUGAGUUCCGUUCAACAAGCAGAGUGAAGUGAAGCAAAGCUUACGAGCGAAGAAGGAGGUUAUUUCUUACGAACGGAAUAAUUUGAAACUGAUGGUAUGUAAUCGCAAUUCCGCUUACAGAAACAGCUUUUUUCUCGCUGUGAUUUAAUUUGUGGUGUAUAAAGAGACUGUUUUUUUUUUUAGACACCAGUAGCUGUUCCAGCUUUCGACUGUACACCAGCCUUCGACACCAUAUAAAAUAAAGUUGCUGUGGCUGCGUUUGGAAACAUCACCUGAGUGCUCUCGGGUAUCAUUCUAUGAUAGAGAGUUAUAUCGAAUCAUUAAUCAUGACAAUUACCUAUUUACUUUGUUUAUAUUGGAAGAGUGAAGAGAUUGUGAAAUGAUGAUUGGUGUAGAUUGUAAUAAUUAGCUUUCUUAACAGAUUCUAAAUUUAAUUUAUUUUUAAAAACAAUUUCUGAAAGAAACAAGAAUAUAUUUCUCUUCUUUAAAUAAUGUUAAAUGUUUAUGCAGUAUUAGUCAAAGAUUAGAUUCUUACAUUCGAUAUUUGAAUUACUUAAUCGUGACAAAUUGUAGCAUAUUUUACUUAGUCCCAGCUUUCGUCUGAUGAAUUAAUAGCGAUUAAACUUGGAUUUUCCACGUAUUAAACCAAAAGUUCUUACUUGAACUGAUUGUGAUACGUAGGCACGAGAAAACGACUAUCUCUUUUCACUCUCCCAAAAAAGUAUAUGCAUAUAUUUAUAAUACUGUAAGCGUAUAUAAAAUAUUUUUUAUUUGCAAAUGUCAUUGCAUAUGCAAAUUAUAACAUUUUAUUUGUUUGUACUAAUCAUGUAAUGGUUCCAUAAAACAUGUGAAAUAAAUAAGUUCAAAAA